GCUCAGAAACUCAAGGAAUUGACGGGGCCGCACAAGCGGAGGAACAUGUGGUUUAAUUCGAUGAUACGCGAGGAACCUUACCUGGGCUUAAAUGGGGAGUGACAGCUGUCGAAAGAUGGUUUUCUUCGGACACUCUUCAAGGUGCUGCAUGGUUGUCGUCAGCUCGUGCCGUGAGGUGUCGGGUUAAGUCCCAUAACGAGCGCAACCCUUACCGUUAGUUACCAUCAGGUUAAGCUGGGGACUCUAGCGGGACUGCCACCGUAAGGUGAGAGGAAGGUGGGGAUGACGUCAAAUCAGCACGGCCCUUAUGUCACCCCGGGCUACACACGUGUUACAAUGGCCGGUACAAAGGGCAGCUACUUCGCGAGAAGAUGCUAAUCUCGAAAGCCGGUCUCAGUUCGGAUCGAAGUCUGCAACCCGACUUCGUGAAGCUGGAUUCGCUAGUAAUCGCGCAUCAGCCAUGGCGCGGUGAAUACGUUUCCCGGGCCUU
rnacentral:rRNA from 1 species